rnacentral:tRNA from 1 species
GUCAGUGUGGCCAACUGGUUGAGGCACCAGACUCGAAAUCUGAUACGUUUCCGUGCACAGUCGAAUCCUGCCAAUGACG